rnacentral:rRNA from 1 species
GUACACUUCUGCGGGAGGCAGCAGUGGGGAAUAUUGCACAAUGGGCGCAAGCCUGAUGCAGCCAUGCCGCGUGUAUGAAGAAGGCCUUCGGGUUGUAAAGUACUUUCAGCGGGGAGGAAGGCAAUACGGUUAAUAACCGUGUUGAUUGACGUUACCCGCAGAAGAAGCACCGGCUAACUCCGUGCCAGCAGCCGCGGUAAUACGGAGGGUGCAAGCGUUAAUCGGAAUUACUGGGCGUAAAGCGCACGCAGGCGGUCUGUCAAGUCGGAUGUGAAAUCCCCGGGCUCAACCUGGGAACUGCAUUCGAAACUGGCAGGCUUGAGUCUUGUAGAGGGGGGUAGAAUUCCAGGUGUAGCGGUGAAAUGCGUAGAGAUCUGGAGGAAUACCGGUGGCGAAGGCGGCCCCCUGGACAAAGACUGACGCUCAGGUGCGAAAGCGUGGGGAGCAAACAGGAUUAGAUACCCUAGUAGUCCC